rnacentral:rRNA from 1 species
UNGGAAUUACUGGGCGUAAAGCGAGCGCAGACGGUUUAUUAAGCAAGAUGUGAAAUCCCCGAGCUUAACUUGGGAACUGCGUUUNGAACUGGUAAGCUAGAGUAUGUCAGAGGGGGGUAGAAUUCCACGUGUAGCAGUGUAAUGCGUAGAGAUGUGGAGGAAUACCGAUGGCGAAGGCAGCCUCCUGGGAUAAUACUGACGUUCAUGCUCGAAAGCGUGGGUAGCAAACAGGAUUAGAUACCCUGGUAGUCCACGCCCUAAACGAUGUCAAUUAGCUGUUGGGCAACAUGAUUGCUUAGUAGCGUAGCUAACGCGUGAAAUUGACCGCCUGGGGAGUACGGUCGCAAGAUUAAAACUCAAAGGAAUUGACGGGGACCCGCACAAGCGGUGGAUGAUGUGGAUUAAUUCGAUGCAACGCGAAGAACCUUACCUGGUCUUGACAUGUACGGAAUCUUCCAGAGACGGAAGAGUGCCUUCGGGAGCCGUAACACAGGUGCUGCAUGGCUGUCGUCAGCUCGUGUCGUGAGAUGUUGGGUUAAGUCCCGCAACGAGCGCAACCCUUGUCAUUAGUUGCCACCAUUCAGUUGGGCACUCUAAUGAGACUGCCGGUGACAAACCGGAGGAAGGUGGGGAUGACGUCAAGUCCUCAUGGCCCUUAUGACCAGGGCUUCACACGUCAUACAAUGGUCGGUACAGAGGGUAGCCAAGCCGCGAGGUGGAGCCAAUCUCAGAAAACCGAUCGUAGUCCGGAUUGCACUCUGCAACUCGAGUGCAUGAAGUCGGAAUCGCUAGUAAUCGCAGGUCAGCAUACUGCGGUGAAUACGUUCCCGG